GAGCAAUCCCUGAGUAGAGUGGCAAACGGGUGAGUAACACGUGGGUGACCUGCCUCAGAGUGGGGGAUAACGUCCCGAAAGGGAUGCUAAUACCGCAUAACAUCCUGCCUUUGGAAAGGCGGAGAUCAAAGCCGGGGAUCGCAAGACCUGGCGCUUGGAGAGGGGCCCGCGUCUGAUUAGCUAGUUGGUAAGGUAAUGGCCUACCAAGGCGACGAUCAGUAUCCGGCCUGAGAGGGCGGACGGACACACUGGGACUGAGACACGGCCCAGACUCCUACGGGAGGCAGCAGUGGGGAAUUGUUCGCAAUGGGCGCAAGCCUGACGACGCAACGCCGCGUGGAGGAUGAAGAUCUUCGGGUCGUAAACUCCUGUCGAGCGGGACGAACACCUGCCGGGCUAACAUCCAGGCAGGCUGACGGUACCGCUAAAGGAAGCCCCGGCUAACUCCGUGCCAGCAGCCGCGGUAAUACGGGGGGGGCAAGCGUUGUUCGGAAUUACUGGGCGUAAAGGGCUCGUAGGCGGCCAACUAAGUCGGACGUGAAAUCCCCAGGCUCAACCUGGGAACUGCGUCCGAUACUGGAUGGCUUGAAUCCGGGAGAG
rnacentral:rRNA from 1 species